rnacentral:rRNA from 1 species
UACGGAGGAUGCAAGCGUUAUCCGGAUUCAUUGGGUUUAAAGGGUGCGUAGGCGGACUAUUAAGUCAGUGGUGAAAGCCUGCAGCUUAACUGCAGAACUGCCAUUGAUACUGAUAGUCUUGAGUUUGGUUAAGGUAGGCGGAAUGUGUAAUGUAGCGGUGAAAUGCCUAGAUAUUACACAGAACACCAAUUGCGUAGGCAGCUUACUGAGCCGACACUGACGCUGAGGCACGAAAGCGUGGGGAUCGAACAGGA